GAUGAACGCUGGCGGCGUGCCUAAUACAUGCAAGUCGAGCGAACAGACGAGGAGCUUGCUCCUCUGACGUUAGCGGCGGACGGGUGAGUAACACGUGGAUAACCUACCUAUAAGACUGGGAUAACUUCGGGAAACCGGAGCUAAUACCGGAUAAUAUAUUGAACCGCAUGGUUCAAUAGUGAAAGACGGUUUUGCUGUCACUUAUAGAUGGAUCCGCGCCGCAUUAGCUAGUUGGUAAGGUAACGGCUUACCAAGGCAACGAUGCGUAGCCGACCUGAGAGGGUGAUCGGCCACACUGGAACUGAGACACGGUCCAGACUCCUACGGGAGGCAGCAGUAGGGAAUCUUCCGCAAAGGGCGAAAGCCUGACGGAGCAACGCCGCGUGAGUGAUGAAGGUCUUCGGAUCGUAAAACUCUGUUAUUAGGGAAGAACAAAUGUGUAAGUAACUAUGCACGUCAUGACGGUACCUAAUCAGAAAGCCACGGCUAACUACGUG
rnacentral:rRNA from 1 species